rnacentral:rRNA from 1 species
CCUACGGGAGGCAGCAGUGAGGAAUAUUGGUCAAUGGACGCAAGUCUGAACCAGCCAAGUAGCGUGAAGGAUGACUGCCCUAUGGGUUGUAAACUUCUUUUAUGAAGGGAUAAAACGAGGCACGUGUGCCUUAUUGCAUGUACUUUAUGAAUAAGGAUCGGCUAAUUCCGUGCCAGCAGCCGCGGUAAUACGGAGGAUCCGGGCGUUAUCCGGAUUUAUUGGGUUUAAAGGGAGCGUAGAUGGGUUGUUAAGUCAGUUGUGAAAGUUUGCGGCUCAACCGUAAAAUUGCAAUUGAGACUGGCAGUCUUGAGUACAGUUGAGGUAGGCGGAAUUCGUGGUGUAGCGGUGAAAUGCUUAGAUAGCACGAAGAACCCCGAUUGCGAAGGCAGCUUACUAAACUGUGACUGACAUUGAGGCUCGAAAGUGUGGGUAUCAAACAGGAUUAGAUACCCGAGUAGUC